AGAGUGGGUGGGUGGGCAUCCCUCACCCUGCUCCACAGCUCCAAGGAACUUCCAAAAUCCAUCGUGUGACUGCAGCUGUAAAAAGUGUCCUGUUUCUGCAACUGCCACUGCCUCUUGCUGCAGCUAUUAAUCUUGUAAAGGGACCAGUGCUAUGUUUGAAACCAACUUUGUAUCAUCUUUUAUUAACCGGCUGUAUGAUGCUCAUUCAGUGCAGCAGAUUGGGAGCUGAAAGUUUCAUCAAUAAAUAUGACUCUGAUGGCUUCAUGUCAACGGUCAAGGCAUUUGAGGAAUAAAAUAAUUUCUACAGCGCCCAUGGAAACAAGGAGCAUGAUGUUCAAGUGCUUGUAUUGCCAUAACAAUUGCUGCAAUACUGGAUUAGGCAAAACCCUGGUAUUUUUAAUGCCUCUGAGCCAGUGAUGAUCUCAAGAUGCCUUGAGUAAAAGUGAAAGGAAACAGGACACACAACAAGGGAUCCUUUGGCUGGAAUUCAAAGUUUUGUGAUGUUAUGGAGGCUGAAAACCAAGAUGGAUUAGAGAAGGUUGUGGGAGGGCUCAGCAGCAGUUAUUAAGAGCAAUGGACUGGGAUCAUCCUCCAGCUCAUGGAACUCCCACACAAUCAAUUGCUGGAGGCUGGGAAGGACACCCAUGCCAAAGGUGCUCUCAGGUCUUGCUGUUCUUCACUUUUCUAAACUCACGUAACUCAAACCGAGGUAAAGGUAAAAUGAAUCAAAUAGCAUAGAUUUGUAAAAAUCAAAAACUUGAAAACGUAGUUUACAAAUGUUUAUGAAAGGCAAAAAUUAUGACAGAAGAAAAAAAAGGAGAAAAUUAUGUGUAGAUUUGCUUAAACUAACAUCACAUGUAAGGGCUUAUCCCUGUCUCAAUGAGAGAGAUCUGGAACACUGACAGAGAUGAAAUUCAGUUCCAUGUAAUUUCUUGUAAAAAUUCUUGUUCAGUUGUGACUAAUCCAAAGCAACAGGUCUCUGAGUAGUUUGACUGGGGUGAAGGUGAAUUCUGGCCACCUUCUGGCUGGUGAGAGGAGGAGGAAAAAAAAAGAAAGACAAUUCAAAACACACUUCCCAGGGGUUCAACAGUACAAACAUAGCCAAAACCACAGAGAAGUUGAAGACAUCUUCCCAAAGAAGUAAGCUGAAAAUUCAACUAUAU